rnacentral:other from 2 species
GGUUCACGGCUACGUUGGUGACUGCCAAUAAUGUUUUUUGAUCUAUGUCUUUUCUUAUAAGGGAACCUCACGGAUCUUGCGGCAGUAGACUGAGCUUGUACUCAGAAACUUUAUGCGAGAUAUAACGGUACCCACCUGGUUUAAGCCAGGUCUAAAACUGAGGUAAGACGGCGCAGCGGUGAACCC